rnacentral:lncRNA from 1 species
UCUCAAUCUCCUGACCUCAUGAUCCACCCACCUCGGCCUCCCAAAAUGCUGGGAUUAUAGGCAUGAGCCAUUGACCCUGGCUCCCAUGUCCAGUUUCAUAAGGAUUAUUGGCGUGUAGUUUUGUGAUGUCUUUCUCUUGUUUUGGUAUCAGGGCAAUAUUGGUCUAAAAGAAUGGGUUGAGAAGUCCUCUCCUACUAUUUCAAAAAGAGUUUGUAAAGGAUUGGUGUUUCAUUCAAUGUUUUGUAGAAUUCACCAGUGAGGGCAUUUGAUCCCAGUUGGGCUUUUCCUCGUGAGAGGUUUCUUUAUUACAAAUUCCAUUUCUUGUUAUAGGUCUGUUCAGAUUUUCUGUUUCUUCUUGAGUCAGUUCUCAUAGUUUGGGUCUAUUAGUCUGUUCUUGUGUUUCUAUGAAGAAACACCUGAGAGUGGGUAACUUAUAAAGAAAAGAGGUUUUAAUUGGCUCACAGUUCUUUAGGUUUUGCAGGAAGCAUGGUGCUGGCAUCUGCUUGCCUUCUGGAGGCCUUGGGAAGCUUAACAAUCAUGGCAGAAGGUGAAGGGGGAAGCUGGCCUCUCACAUGGCAGGAGUGAGAGCAAGAGAGAAAGAGGUGUCACACACUUUUAAAUGACCAGGUCUUGUGAGAACUGACUAUCUCAAGGAUAGCACCAGGGCAUGAGGAAUCUGCCCCUGUGGCCAAAACACCUCCCACCAGGCCCCACCUCCAACAUUGGGGAUUACAAUUCAAGGUGAGAUUUAGCAGGAGCAACAUCUAAACUACAUGAGGGUCUUUCUAAGAAUUACUCAUUUCAUCUAGAUUCUCUAAAUUGUUGAGAUAACAACUGUUCAUACUGUUCCUUUACAUUCCCAUUUAUUUCUAUAAUAUUGAUAGUAAUAUCCCCUCUUACUUUUCUGAUCUAGUAUAAUUUGAGUAUUCUCUUUUUUUUUUCGGUUGGUCUAGCUACAGAAUUGUCAACAUUGUUGACGUUUUCAGAGAACUAGCUUUUGUUUUUAUUCAUUUUUCUCUAUUUUUGUUUCAUUUAUGUAUACUCUGCUUAUUUCCUUCUGCUUUGCUCUUUUUCUAGUUUCUUAAGGUAGAUGAUGUGGUUAUUGAAUUUUUUUUUUUUUUUUUUUUUUUUUGAGAUGAAGUCUCACUCUGUUCCCCAGGCUGGAGUGCAGCGGCAUGAUCUCCGCUCACUGCAAGCUCUGCCUCCCAGGUUCAUGCCAUUCUCCUGCCUCAGCCUCCCGAGGAGCUGGGACUACAGGCGACUGCCACCACACCCAGCUAAUUUUUUGUAUUUUUAGUAGAAAGGAGGUUUCACCAUGUUAGCCAGGAUGGUCUCGAUCUCCUGACCUCGUGAUCUGCCUGCCUUGGCCUCCCAAAGUGCUGGGAUUACAGGCGUGAGCCACCGUGCCUGGCCCAAUGUGGUAAUUGAUUUUAAAUUUUAAGGUUUUUGUUUACUUGUUUGUUUGUUUUGAGACAAGAUCUCAGUCUGUUGCCCAUGCUAGAGUGCAGUGGCGCGAUCAUAGUUCACUACAGCCUUGAACUCCUGAACUACUGGGACUACAGGCACGUGCCAGCACACCUACCUAAUUUAAAGAGAUGUUUUUAGACACAGGCUCUUGAAUUCCUCACCUCAUGGUACUCUCCUGCCUCAGCCUGCCAAAUAGGUGGGAUUAUAGGCAUAUGCCACCAUGCUUGGCUUAUCUUUUUAUUUAUUUAUUUAUUUUAUUUAGUUAUUUAUUUUUGA